rnacentral:rRNA from 1 species
AUCCGGAGGGGACUAGCGUUGUUCGGAAUUACUGGGCGUAAAGCGUACGUAGGCGGAUCAGAAAGUAUGGGGUGAAAUCCCAGGGCUCAACCCUGGAACUGCCUCAUAAACUCCUGGUCCUGAGUUCGAGAGAGGUGAGUGGAAUUCCGAGUGUAGAGGUGAAAUUCGUAGAUAUUCGGAGGAACACCAGUGGCGAAGGCGGCUCACUGGCUCGAUACUGACGCUGAGGUACGAAAGUGUGGGGAGCAAACAGGAUUAGAUACCCUAGUAGUCC